AGUUGCAAGACAACAGAGAGGACGAGAAAGUGGGACAUCAACAACUGCCCUUGUGAAUAUGGUGAUUGACAAUAAUUCCAUCCGUUCAAGGGAAAUUCAAACCCAAAUAGUUAAGACCAGGUAGUCUUCCAAGGAAUUGACAGCAUCAGCAUUUCCACCACUGACCGGAUCGUUCAGAAGAACCACAUAAGGACAAAGCAGCUGUACCGUGUGCCUUUUGAAAGGAAUUCAGAGUUAAGGAGCGACGAUUCCAAUAUGUGCAGAGAAUCUUGAGCUGGAUGCCAUGGCUGAACCACAGGAAUACAUCUUCAUCGACGAGGCAUGAUUCAACCUAACAAAAAGGUGCAAAAGUGGGAGCAAAAUCAUUGGUCACCAUACAAGUUCCUGGCCAGAGGGGAGGUAAUGUCACCCUAUGUCCAGCCAUCAGCAAUCAUGGCGUCCUCCACCGCCAUGUCAAAGUGGGUCCAUGCAACACGGAAAUACUCCUUCAAUUUCCAGAUCAGCUGCACAAUAACAUUCUUCAACAGGAAGGGGAGUCAUGGCAACCAGAGCAAGCCCAAUAUGCUGUCAUUUGUUAUAACAUGAGUUUCCAUCGGGUUGCUCAGGUUCGCGCCUGGUUCAAUGACCAACCCAGGGUCUUUUUUUGCCAGCAUAUUCCCCAUUUCUGAAUCCGAUUGAGGCAUUUUUCUCAGCAUGGUGGUGGAGAGUAUAUGCCCGAAACCCCUACGCACAGCAAAACCUCCUGGAGGCAAUGAUGGAGGCCUGUGGUGAUGUGUCUGUGGAGUCUAUCCAGGGUUAUCUAAGGCACACAAGGGCAUUUUUUCCCCACGCUGCCUGGCAAGAGUAAAUAUAAUGUGUGACGUUGAUGAGAUUAUGUCCUGAGACGAGAUGAUGAGAACGCUGAUGCUGAUUAACCUGUACAUUUGCUGCAUUUGGAAAUAAAGCUUUUGGAAAUUGGGUA